UCACAACUUUUACUCCUGUUGAGUUGUA
rnacentral:piRNA from 1 species